rnacentral:lncRNA from 1 species
UGCAGUAAAACGAAACCAGAGAGAGGGCACAACCUGAAACAUAGCAAUUGCCAAAGCCAUAGAGCAAAAAAGAUAGGGCCAACAUCCAGGAUAACGACUCGCAAUAAAUGACGCUUCAGCCAAGCAAUACCGGAGCCAACAAGCGCAAAGACCAGAGAGAAGGAAGAGACCACGAGAUCAACUGCUCUCUGCACAUUUCACCGGAGAGGAAAACGUCGAUGCCUAUCAUGACCGAAAAGAAGAAGAGAAACCCCACCAAGACACCGAGGGGAGGAGACGAGAUCUGCAAUUCACCACGGCCCAACAAACAAGAGAACUGAGACUCCACACCACUUGAACCUUCAGGAGAUCAUGAGAGUCGAAAAGCUAAUACAACCAAGCGCUGGUCUCAAAGGCAGAGGAGAGUAGAAACAGAUCUAAAAAUUCACCACCACUGUAAUCCCUAAAAACCGGUCCUACCACACACGUACCACUGACGAGACUCGCCGACGCUCCAAUAGAGAACAUGAGCCACCGAAUCCAGACCUAUGGCACUGAGAUAUAGGUCAAAAGCCGGGGCACGCCAACCACCACAGAGAAGCCGAGCAUAUCGAAUCGCCGAGGCAAAGAAGACAAAGAAAAGAGAAGAGAAAGAAAAAAGGAUUGAGGCCUCCGGCACCGGCAAAGGAGCUGACCACCAGCGACAGCAAUGCACAGAGCUUUUUUUUAAGAGAGAAAAAGUUCUUCUUUUAGUUAGAUAUGACUUCACCUCUAAGAGGUAGACUUAUAUUGAUUUAUUUGAACUUCAUUUUUUAUAUUCAAACUGAAAUCAAAUCUAGCAUGGAUCUAUCAGGUAUAGUGUUUUAGCUUCGACUACCUUUAAGCAAAUUAAGUUUAUGUUUUAAUUUCAUAAAAUAAAAAAAAGAUAUUUCUAAAACUUAUUAUAUAUACAUAUUUAGUUUAUAUAAACUAAUUUAAAUCCUUACGUACCUCAAAUAUAAAAGGUAUACCUUGGAAUUACUCAAUUACCUGUUGGGGUUUAUUAAUUCGUUUUUUUUUUCUACGAGCUUAAUCUAACAUUACCAACUAAGACAAAAUGUCUCUAUAUCAAAGAGACAAAGACUAGUGUCUAGUUUCAUGGGUUGGCUUAAAUCAUGGCCCAUUCACAAAAAUAAACUCAUAUGUGUGAUAAUGAGGUAAGGUAUUCGUAGAAAAUAGAACAGUUCACAAUCUCGUUCUCCAUCGAUGAGGAUGUGAUCAGGCCACUCAUAAUCUUUAACACGGUUGGGGUGCACCAACCCAAUAAGAAUAUAUAACACUUCAGCCCACUAACUAAUGGACCUUAACAAGAAAGAAAAUAAUAAUGGCUGCGGAAGUUUCCAACGAAAAACGACACGUUCAUCCUAGUAUGUGGAAAAAAGAAGGCGUCAAUUGCGUCACCCAUGACAUCAAUGCAUGCAGAGUCUCGCUUUAGCUGUGUGGAGGUGACAAUAGAAAAAUACUUUUAUAUUGCAGACCUAAUGUUUAUUUUUAAUUAUCCAUUAUUAUAGGUAGGUCUCUUAAGGAUGUUAUAGGGUCAAUCGCUUCUUUCUUGGUUUCAGGGGUCGACUUAUAGAGGUAAGAACAUCGUUAUCGGCGUUCCGAACCGCGUCCUUACCGAAUUAAACCGAAAAAAUAAAUCAAAAUGAAAUUAAAAAGAAGAAAACGUAUGUUAGUUAAGAAGUUUUUGUGUCCGUCCUUAACGGCACGUGUCAUCGCGGGAGGGAGUGUGCGUCUAGGGUUGGAACAGGGGAGUCGAGUCAUUCUCAUCCUCUCCCUUCUCUCUCUCAACGGCGAUCUCGGUCUCACCCUGUUCCCUCUCCCGGUCAGUAUUUUAAAAAAUAUCAACAAAUAAUCUGAACUUCCUUUUCCGUUAGGCGUUAUGUAUCAUCAAAAUAUAUUAAUUUAACUAGUAACCAUCGUAUGGUUUUGUUUUUGAAGAAAUGAUCGUAACAAAUGUGUAAUCAAGGUGGUUAUGAAUAAUGAAUUAAUUAAAGAAAACACUAUAAAUGAACUCGAACCUGUAGUACGGAGAGACUCGGAGGCCAGAGACGAAGGCGAGUUUGGUGGUGCUUAUAACCGGUGAAUUGCCAUCGUGUAAUGCAUUUCCACCGCGUGUCACUGUCUUGAUCGUUCCUCUGAUCAUCCCAACUAUCUCAUUAUCGAUCUCAGCCACCUGUCACAUGCAUUGCCCAAAUUAAAACGAGAAAAAUAAUAAUGAAAAAGGGCAAAUCAAAACCAUUGAACGUUAACGUGUAUAUAUUGUGUAAACGUACCAGCAUGUAGAAAGAAGGAGAUUGUCGGAUCCGGGCAAGCGGGUCACCCAUGAGAUCAACUAAUAAAGACCCGACUUCACAGCUUUUCUCAAGCUCUUCCACUCUCUUUAAGUCUCUGUUUGGAUCAUAAUCUCUCACCACAACUACUUGAAAACCUUUCCUAAUUUAAAAUCAACUUAUCAGCUAAUAAAAGCUUUAGUAUAAAAUCGUACGGAAGCCUAACAAAACUUUUCUUCUUGCAAAUAUUUCAGAUUGCUUCUUUCACAAAGUGAGUAUUGUCAUUAGUCUAUUUAUAGUUAGGAUUUAGCUUUGUUCUCCUAGUUAAUUAGUAUAUGAUUAGGGUUUUUAUUUAAUUAUCACUAUCUCUUUCUCUCUAUUUUUAUAAUGUCAAUGUUGUAGUUAGUGCUCUUUCUUUGGAACUCUGUCGAUUCUUCCUCAUUUCCGUGUGUAUUUUUAUUUACAAAUUCGCAUAUCUAGCUAUAUUUUAUUUUUGAUGAUCCGGUUAUGAUUCGUGUAUAGCAAUAUUUUCCGAGAAUAUCACGGCUCAUAUGUUAAUUCCGUUUUAAAAGUAUAUAGAUAUGGACGGAUACAACAAAAACUAAUAACAACCCACGAUUCUAACUUCUAUCAUAUUUUAUAGUUCUUCCAAUUACAUGGCACUGCGACUCCAACGAUACAUACUUAAUAUUAGGUCCCAACUUGAAAUUAAAUAAAACAAGACUAAUUUCUAUAUAUAUAUAGGUAGAGCAAAUUAUGCUUUUCAUUACAUCUAUAAAUUAUAUAUGUUACAUCCCAGUCUUUAUAAUAAUAUAAAGGUCUUCACUCUAUAUAUGCUCUUCAUCUCAUAUAACCUAAAACUAUAGAUGUGUUGUCUAUCUCUUUUAAUAAAAAAAUUGUGGGCAUCAAUGCCAAAACCCAUGCUAAAUUUACGAUGUCUAUACAAAUUCGAUGUUUAUUUUGCAUGUGUUUAUAGGUGAUCAUCCAUAAUUGAAAUCUAAAGUAGGAGACUCAACUCCUAACUUAGACCUACAGAACAAAUUCUAACAACCACUAUCUGACGAUUAAUUAUUGUUUUAUGUAUAUUUAUUUCAGUGAGUUUGUAUACAUAACGUUUAUUGUUUUUUUACGAUCGUUUAUGUGUUUUAGUUUCUUAACCAUUUUAUCUUGACAUCAGUAUUAUUAUUGCUCUUCAAAGUUAUGCCGGUGGUUCAUAUUUACUAUUUAGAUAGAAAUCUUACAAAUGAAAACACAUACACAUAAAAAGGAAUUUGGAAUUUAAGUAUAAAGAAUACGACCACAUAUUAAUAAAGACUCUAAGAAAAAGUCGAUCAAAGCACACAGGAAAAGCUGGAAUGGCGGCGGAGAUACGUGGUGGGUUUAGGAUUAGUAACUAUCCCUUUGAUUAUUGCUUUAAAUUUUCUUUUUAAUUUAUACGAUAGUCAGCUAUAUGCCUAUAUCAUUUGCUGAAUUAAUAAAUAUAGAGCUCAAUUUAAAAAAUAUUGCAUAACAAUUAUAUGUUCGUUUCAUAAUGAUUCCACAUGAUCAUCACUGUCAUCACCUCGAUAUCCCUUUCCCUUUCGAAGUCUUUUUUUCUUAAUUUACAGUCAUACUCAACUCGAUUCAAUAAUGCAUUCGUGAUCUUUUACGCAACUCCACGAAAUGUUUCCUCGUGACAAAAAUAAUCUCAAAUUAUGGAUCGAAACAGUACAAGAAAGAUUCAAAUGAGCACAUAUGAAAUGCGAUAGACAUAAGUCUAAGUAACUAUGUCCAAAACGUAACUACUCUAUAAGUAUUAUCGUUUAGAAACAUGUUUCCUAACCUAUACGGAGCACAUUACAGUUAAGUUCAUGAGUCGGAGGCAGAAAUUUUUACAACCGGGAAAUCUUAUAUAAAAAACAAGUAUUUUUAGUUGGGGUAACAUGAACUUCACAAAAUAAUAGGGAUCAAUUGAAAAUUUAUACCCGGAUCAGUUAGAUAACUAAAAUCAAGUGGGGUCAUCUGACCCCACUCUCUUCAAUAUGCCUCCGCUUCAUAACCAUAACAGUCGAUUUGUUUUUUGGCGGCAGGAAAAAUGAAUUUCGAAACAGAAUCUUAGUAGAUAUUGGUUAACUGGAGAAGAAAAUAAUGGUAAUAGAUCUUGUUAAUAAAGCUGAAAAAGAGAUAGGUGCGGUUUGGUUUGAAGAACUUUGCCAAGGGAGAGAAUCUGCAACGUGACAUUACGAUAGAGUGGUCCUGCAAAUUUCUCCUGAAACAUAGGCCGUCGAUUAUUUUAGACAUGAGCCCACUUAGAAUAAAAGUGAUUACCUUUCUGUCUUUUAUUAUUAUUUUAUAAAUACACUAUUUUCUUAGCUAAAUGCGAAGGUGCUUCGCAAAUCUUUCACCUUACCGGUGGAAUAUCAUCUUUCUGCGCUAAUCAUAAUAUAAGGAACGUGAUCAGACGGCUUGCUUUUUCCACAAUAUUCUCCAACUUUUUUCUACUUUCUCAUAUUCUCUGGAUUGGAUUCGUAUCUCUCGUUUCUUCUCUAUCUCUUCAUAGUUCUUCACUUCCAAUCAAUUGUUUAAUAUUAAAAAGUAUAGUUUUCAUCGAAGAGUAUAUUUAUUAGAUAAUUUAAUUGGCAUAUAAACAUUUUUUUUUUGCUUUCUCUAAAAGUUUGUAUUCCUAAGAUCAUUUCCAAUGUAUUUAUUUUUAUUUCUAAAAUAAAGCAACUCAAAAAUAGAGAUGUAUUUAUUUUCAAUGUAUUUUUCUAUUUUUGUUUCUAUAAAAAUAUUCUCAAAAGAUUCUAUUUAAAUUUUACAACAAAUACCUUUUAUUUAUGAAAGUUGAUAAUUAGCCCUAUUUUUUUUAACUUUUACAAGAUUUUUAUAAAAUUAUAACUCUAUUUAAACUAAAUUUUCAUUAUAAAGACUAUUAUAUAAAUAAAAAGUGGGAUUUACGUUUAUAAAAACGGUAUUUUAUUUAAAAAAUAAUUGUUUUGGUUAUAAUUAUAAUAGUUUAAACGUUAAAAGAUUAUUUUGUAAAUAGAAAAGUAUGACUCUAUAAUAGAGAAAUGCUAUUUUUGUCUCUAUAUUUAAAGGAAAAAUAUCAAUUUCUAUUUUAAAAAAGAAAUAGAGGUGGGUUGGAAAUGGUUUUAUUAAGGUAUGUAUUUUUCAACUGUUUAUUACUUAUGCUGUGCUGUUUUCUAUCCUUGCGAAUUAUAAGUAGUAAUUAUCAGUGCUGAUUGCAAAGCAUUUUCGAUUUUCUGAUUCAUCGACAAUUUUAGGCACGAAAAUAGUUCGGACAAACCUUUUUACCGUUUUUGUGUGUGUUUAAUGGACAAAAAUACUUUAAUUUUGGUAUUUAGUCGGAAAAUAUACUAUUUCUCAUAUUUUUAUGAGGUUCCACUUCAUUGAAAUUGCUUUCCAACGAACUUUGUUAUGUUGAAACGUUUAUGAUAUUAAUAUUUCAAUAUUAGCUACCAAAUUUCGGUCAAAAAAUAUAUUUCAAAAUAUUGAAUUUCAAAUAUAAAAAAGAAAAUUUUAUAUACGUCAAUAAGAUAUUAUCUUAGAGAACAAGAUAGAUGAUCGAAUACAGAAACAAAUAAUUGACAGAUAUCAUUUUGUUAUAUAGUAUAAAUCAAUAGUAUUACUUACAAAUAUUUGUCUGUCGAGCGACUGCCUGGAACAUUACUUUGGAAUAUUCACGAGUUUAAUUGAAAUCUUUUUUAUUCUUCACAUAGAAGAGUUGAAAAACUGAUUAAGCAAUGACGAAUUAGAGAUAAUCAUAAUCAAAUGGGCAUGAUUAGUUGUAAACCUCUAGGGUAUUUCCUUUAAAUGCAAUAUAAAAAGUUAAAAAUGCCAAAAUUGUACAUCACGCUACGUAUGUAAUGCCGUUGCUAAAAGACAUAAAAUGUCUGCUGAUGUAUUGGACUUUGUGACCUCACUUACUUCUCAAAAAUAUAAUUAAUUUUUAUUUAUUUCUUACUUAUUUUAAGGGUCAAGCAGCCAAAUAAAUAACAUAUAAAUAAAAUAACUUCGUCCAAAAACAAGUAUACAUCGAUAUAAGCAUUUUGUAAAUACUCAUUUUUUUCUAGAACAAAAAAUACUCCAAUGCAUGUAUCUGGUUCGUCAGUCUAUAAUCCAACUUAGGAAAACCGACUUGUCGAAAUUCAGGAGGUAGACUUUCUUUUUUCUUUUUGCUAAAAAGUAAAUAUUCAUUAAUAAAAAUAAAAUACAUACAAAUUACUUACGUCCCAAAAGAAAAAAUCUAAAAAGACUUAAAUAACAAUACAAUAUUAGAACUAACGAUUGCACGAACAAUUUUAGUGCUAAAAAAUCUGAUCGACAACCACCACACCAAAAUCGGUAAGUACUCUGAUGAUGCCAAUUGACACAAACUCUAGACUCUCGGCAACGUUUCAAGGUACGGCUCCCGACGACGUUUUAAGUACAAUUAAUUCUAGAGAUAGAAAAAACUCUCCACACGAAUCAAACAGAGACUGACGGUACCUAUCCUUAGCACGAAUCCAUCAGAGACCGACGACACUUCAUGACAUGAACUCAUCGAAAUCUUAAAACAUUCUAAUCCAUGAUCCAAACAGUGUACGAGCAAUCCAACCCGACAUUACGAAGACAACUAAAGCUAAAACAACGGGACACGAGAUAGCCACAAUAACAAUCGACAGGUCAACAAUCCGACAAGCAAAAAGAAAAGACCGAAGCUACCAUAUCAUGGUCAAGCGACCAAAACAAUGGCACUGGGAUGAUGCGGUCUAACGGCAGCGGUCCACAAAAAAAUCUGGAACCUAUUGAACACCACAAGCUCACAAAAAUCUUGAUUGCAGCUGUAUUCGAGAACCGGAUAUACAGUUCUGAAGCUUCUCGGCACUCAAGUUUCACUGAAGACCUGCAGUAAAACGAAACCAGAGAGAGGGCACAACCUGAAACAUAGCAAUUGCCAAAGCCAUAGAGCAAAAAAGAUAGGGCCAACAUCCAGGAUAACGACUCGCAAUAAAUGACGCUUCAGCCAAGCAAUACCGGAGCCAACAAGCGCAAAGACCAGAGAGAAGGAAGAGACCACGAGAUCAACUGCUCUCUGCACAUUUCACCGGAGAGGAAAACGUCGAUGCCUAUCAUGACCGAAAAGAAGAAGAGAAACCCCACCAAGACACCGAGGGGAGGAGACGAGAUCUGCAAUUCACCACGGCCCAACAAACAAGAGAACUGAGACUCCACACCACUUGAACCUUCAGGAGAUCAUGAGAGUCGAAAAGCUAAUACAACCAAGCGCUGGUCUCAAAGGCAGAGGAGAGUAGAAACAGAUCUAAAAAUUCACCACCACUGUAAUCCCUAAAAACCGGUCCUACCACACACGUACCACUGACGAGACUCGCCGACGCUCCAAUAGAGAACAUGAGCCACCGAAUCCAGACCUAUGGCACUGAGAUAUAGGUCAAAAGCCGGGGCACGCCAACCACCACAGAGAAGCCGAGCAUAUCGAAUCGCCGAGGCAAAGAAGACAAAGAAAAGAGAAGAGAAAGAAAAAAGGAUUGAGGCCUCCGGCACCGGCAAAGGAGCUGACCACCAGCGAC